AGUACUGACCAGUACCGACCAGUACCAACCUGACAGGUCCCCACCCAGCUCAGCAUGGCUCAGACUGUGCCAAUCCAACCCAUGAGAGUCCAUCAUGAAAGAGCACAUCCCAGUCUCCACGACCACUGACAGAUCCAACACUGAAUAGAUCUUUAAUGGUAUCUGGCCAUAACACUUGUUGCUAAAAACGUUGCAAUGACUGAGCAGGAAAGAUACCUUCUUCAGAAAAUGGAAACAGCUGGAUGUCGUGCACAGAAAUAAAUUAGUUGUCUGUGGGUA